rnacentral:rRNA from 1 species
AAUCUUCCGCAAUGGACGAAAGUCUGACGGAGCGACGCCGCGUGCGGGAUGAAGGCCUUCGGGUUGUAAACCGCUGUCAGUUGGGAGGAAAUGCUAUGGGGUUCUCUCCAUAGUUUGACCGAUCUUCAGAGGAAGUACGGGCUAAGUUCGUGCCAGCAGCCGCGGUAACACGAACCGUACGAACGUUAUUCGGAAUCACUGGGCUUAAAGAGUCCGUAGGCGGCUUUAAAGGUCAGGUGUGAAAUCCCACGGCUCAACCGUGGAACUGCGCUUGAAACCAUAAAGCUAGAGGGAGAUAGAGGUGAGCGGAACUGAUGGUGGAGCGGUGAAAUGCGUUGAUAUCAUCAGGAACACCUGUGGCGAAAGCGGCUCACUGGGUCUCUUCUGACGCUGAGGGACGAAAGCUAGGGGAGCGAACGGGAUUAGAUACCCCGGUAGUCCUAGCUGUA